UCGGCUGUGAAUUUUGGAAAGAUAAUGGAUGUAACAAGAUUGUGAGGGGACAAUCAAAAUUUGAGGGGAUAAACAAAAAGAAAAGACAAUAAUUAGUCUUUCUUUACACAACCAAAGACAGACAACUCACCAAAAUCAUUUCCAUUACAUGAAUUUAGUAUCGAUUGUAAGCUUUUCCAAAAUCUUCACGCCUCUGACGCUGGAA
rnacentral:misc_RNA from 1 species